AGUGAACGCUGGCGGUAGGCCUAACACAUGCAAGUCGAACGGCAGCACAGUAAGAGCUUGCUCUUACGGGUGGCGAGUGGCGGACGGGUGAGGAAUACAUCGGAAUCUACUUUUUCGUGGGGGAUAACGUAGGGAAACUUACGCUAAUACCGCAUACGACCUACGGGUGAAAGCAGGGGAUCUUCGGACCUUGCGCGAUUGAAUGAGACGAUGUCGGAUUAGCUAGUUGGCGGGGUAAAGGCCCACCAAGGCGACGAUCCGUAGCUGGUCUGAGAGGAUGAUCAGCCACACUGGAACUGAGACACAGUCCAGACUCCUACGGGAGGCAGCAGUGGGGAAUAUUGGACAAUGGGCGCAAGCCUGAUCCAGCCAUACCGCGUGGGUGAAGAAGGCCUUCGGGUUGUAAAGCCCUUUUGUUGGGAAAGAAAAGCAGCAGGUUAAUACCCCGCUGUUCUGACGGUACCCAAAGAAUAAGCACCGGCUAACUUCGUG
rnacentral:rRNA from 1 species